CUCUUUUUUAUGAUGAGUUCAUAGUUCAAAUGAAUCUUUGUGAUUACAAACUAGCUUUUUGUCUUUCGCUCCUAACUGAUCGAUUUU